rnacentral:rRNA from 1 species
AGAGUUUGAUCAUGGCUCAGGACGAACGCUGGCGGCGUGCCUAACUCAUGCAAGUCGAGCGAGUGGAGUUCUUCGGAACAAAGCUAGCGGCGGACGGGUGAGUAACACGUGGGCAACCUGCCUCAUAGAGGGGAAUAGCCUCCCGAAAGGGAGAUUAAUACCGCAUAAGAUUGUAGCUUCGCAUGAAGUAGCAAUUAAAGGAGCAAUCCGCUAUGAGAUGGGCCCGCGGCGCAUUAGCUAGUUGGUGAGGUAAUGGCUCACCAAGGCGACGAUGCGUAGCCGACCUGAGAGGGUGAUCGGCCACAUUGGGACUGAGACACGGUCCAGACUCCUACGGGAGGCAGCAGUGGGGAAUAUUGCACAAUGGGCGCAAGCCUGAUGCAGCCAUGCCGCGUGUAUGAAGAAGGCCUUCGGGUUGUAAAGUACUUUCAGCGGGGAGGAAGGGAGUAAAGUUAAUACCUUUGCUCAUUGACGUUACCCGCAGAAGAAGCACCGG